UGGGGAAUUUUGGACAAUGGGGGAAACCCUGAUCCAGCCAUCCCGCGUGUGCGAUGAAGGCCUUCGGGUUGUAAAGCACUUUUGGCAGGAAAGAAACGUCGCGGGUUAAUACCCCGCGAAACUGACGGUACCUGCAGAAUAAGCACCGGCUAACUACGUGCCAGCAGCCGCGGUAAUACGUAGGGUGCAAGCGUUAAUCGGAAUUACUGGGCGUAAAGCGUGCGCAGGCGGUUCGGAAAGAAAGAUGUGAAAUCCCAGAGCUUAACUUUGGAACUGCAUUUUUAACUACCGGGCUAGAGUGUGUCAGAGGGAGGUGGAAUUCCGCGUGUAGCAGUGAAAUGCGUAGAUAUGCGGAGGAACACCGAUGGCGAAGGCAGCCUCCUGGGAUAACACUGACGCUCAUGCACGAAAGCGUGGGGAGCAAACAGGAUUAGAUACCCUGGUAGUCCACGCCCUAAACGAUGUCAACUAGCUGUUGGGGCCUUCGGGCCUUGGUAGCGCAGCUAACGCGUGAAGUUGGCCGCCUGGGGAGUACGGUCGCAAGAUU
rnacentral:rRNA from 1 species